AUCAUAGUUACAUAGGACUGGGUUCGAUUCGAAACGGGGAACGAAAUCGGGUACGUGGAACAUUAGUUUUAGUGAAUCUGGUACGAUGGAACGUAUAGGUACGAUGGAACGUAUGGGUACGAUUAGUCCUUUUAAAAAGAAUUCUAUAAUCAUAUAUAUAAAUUCCAUUAUAAUAUACAAUUUUAGUUGAUAAUUUAUACAUUUAUAAUUUUUUAUAAAGAAAAAGAUAUUGAAUAACAAAUAAAAGUACACAUUUAUUGAUAAAAUAAAUUACUUAUCAUAUGACAUAGACAUGGAUCUAUUGUUCAAAACAAGAAUGAAGUGUGUUCUUGCGGGUCGUCACUUCCGGGAUCUGGGUCGCGACCCUGAACGUUUCCGUUCGCGUUUCCGACCGUAUCGGGUACGAACGAUCUAGAUCGCGGUUCGUGGCAGCGUCCCCGUUUCCUUGUAUCUAUGGGUUAAAUGUCUCAUCAGCUUUUAUUCUGACUUCACACACAACAUCCUCCACUCUCUCUUUCUCCAUCUUAUCUCCCAUCAGUUUCCAUUUCAUUUCUUCACCAAAUUUAGUAAGAACUAUAUUACUAACACGUACCCCUGUCUUCAGAUUACUCAUUCUCAUCUAUAAUAACUCAAUCCUAUAGCUCAUGCCAAGGAGUUCUAGACAUCUGGAGCUGAGUCCUGCGUGAAGUUAGCAAGAACGAUGAAAACUUCUGCUUAACCACAAGUAUCAGUGUUAGCAAUCUCCCUUGUGGUGGUUUCUCUAGCUUGGACUAGAUUUGGACCAUCUAGCAUCACUGUUGUGGCCAUGAUGAUGCAGCAUCCAUACAAUACUUUUGAAUCGGAAGACGACUCUGAAGUCAGCAGCCAGGUAGCCUCCAAUGUAUCCAUCUAUGACAAAUCACCGGGAUCCAAUCACAGCACCCCUACUUCCUCCUGCCUCACAAAUCCUAUGCAGCUUCAGAAUCCAAUUUUCAAUACUCUCGACUUAACUCUUGGCUUCAAUCAUUCAAAUGUGGAGGCAACAAACGAUACAAAUAUGCAUGAUCAUAACGUCGAGGAGAGUGCUCCCAAUAUGCCUCCAGGCACAAUGCCUAGAGUUUUUUCUUGCAAUUAUUGCAGGAGAAAAUUUUACAGCUCACAAGCUCUAGGAGGCCAUCAAAAUGCACACAAACGAGAGAGGACGUUGGCCAAGAGGGCAAUGCGGAUGGGAAUAUUAUCAGAUAGGUACGCAAGCUUGGCGUCUCUUCCACUACAUGGCUCUGCCUAUAGGUCCUUAGGAAUUGAAGCUCAUGCCUCCAUGCAUCACGGAGUCGUUCCCCCGGUUAGGCCUCCAUUUCAUGGAGCAAAAUUUGACCAGGGAUUCUGUGGAUUGCCAGUGUUUGUGGAGGAAGAUGAAUCUGAGAUGUUUUGGCCUGGUAGCUUUCGACAAAUUGAACAGAGAAGCAAUGCUCAUGUUCUGUCUGGUUAUGAGUUAGGACAAAAUUCCAACUUUGUGACCAUGGCUCCACAACCUGCACCACCUCAACCAGAAUUUUCUCAACCUGAUCUUACCUUGAAACUUUAAAUCACCCUUAACUUGUUCCAGUAUUUUUGCUUUUUCUUUAGUUGCAAUAUAUUAAUUUCUCUAGAUCUGAUCUUCUCUGUACAGCAACACCUAGCAAAAGUUUCAUAAUGGGUGUGAACUCAAGUAUUUUACUUUUUGCUCUAAUGUUUUUUUACAAUUUGUACUAUUUCAGUGAUAUAUAAGAUGCAAGUAUCUUUAAAUAA